rnacentral:rRNA from 1 species
ACUACGGGAGGCAGCAGUGGGGAAUAUUGGGCAAUGGGCGCAAGCCUGACCCAGCAACGCCGCGUGAAGGAAGAAGGCUUUCGGGUUGUAAACUUCUUUUCUCAGGGACGAAGCAAGUGACGGUACCUGAGGAAUAAGCCACGGCUAACUACGUGCCAGCAGCCGCGGUAAUACGUAGGUGGCAAGCGUUAUCCGGAUUUACUGGGUGUAAAGGGCGUGUAGGCGGGAAAGCAAGUCAGAUGUGAAAACCAUGGGCUCAACCUGUGGCCUGCAUUUGAAACUGUUUUUCUUGAGUACUGGAGAGGCAGACGGAAUUCCUAGUGUAGCGGUGAAAUGCGUAGAUAUUAGGAGGAACCCCAGUGGCGAAGGCGGUCUGCUGGACAGCAACUGACGCUGAGGCGCGAAAGCGUGGGGAGCAAACAGGAUUAGAUACCCCUGUAGUC